rnacentral:rRNA from 1 species
CCUACGGGCGGCAGCAGUGAGGAAUAUUGGUCAAUGGGCGGGAGCCGGAACCAGCCAAGCCGCGUGAGGGAAGAAGGUACAGCGUAUCGUAAACCUCUUUUGUCAGGGAACAAAGGCGGGGACUAGUCCCCGGAUGAGGGUACCUGAAGAAAAAGCAUCGGCUAACUCCGUGCCGGCAGCCGCGGUAAUACGGAGGAUGCGAGCGUUAUCCGGAUUUAUUGGGUUUAAAGGGUGCGUAGGCGGAAUGUCAAGUCAGCGGUAAAAAUUCGGGGCUCAACCCCGUCGUGCCGUUGAAACUGGUGUUCUUGAGUGGGCGAGAAGUAUGCGGAAUGCGUGGUGUAGCGGUGAAAUGCGUAGAUAUCACGAAGAACUCCGAUUGCGACGGCAGUUCACUGGACUGCAACUGACACUGAGGCUCGAAAGUGUGGGUCUCAAACAGGCUUCGAUCCCCAGUAGUC